rnacentral:lncRNA from 1 species
AAGCCAAUAGCCCCUCUUUCCUUUUCCCUUUCCAUUUCCCUUUUCUUCCCUCCACCCUCCCUCCUUGUACCCUGUCACCCUAACCCUCCCCAUCUCUCACAUCCCAUCUCACUCUCUCCCCUUUCCCCUUUCUUCUUCCCUCAUUGACGAGCAAAAACCCUUCGACAUAAACCCCGAUUUUUCCCUUUCUCCUCUUAUCAGACCACCUUCGACUUUCCCCCUUCUUUCUCCUCCUUUCUUUUCACCCUUUCCCUUCCUCCCCCAUCGAACGCCCUUCCUUCUUCGUUGUGUCUUUCCCUCCCAUCGACCUCGUCACCGCUGUUUGCCACCGUCGCUUGUUGAUUCCCCACUGUUAACCCCUUCCCUCUUUUUAUUUAUUUAUUUAUUCUUUUUAUAUUUAUUAUUAUUCUUGUUUGUUAUUAUUAUUUGUUUUAGUUAUAUGUUUUUGUGUUCUUAUGUUGUUAAUUCUUGUUUUUUUUUAUUUUCUUUUGAAUUAUUAUUUUUAUUACUUUUUACAUUUAUGCUCCGUUUGUUUCAUUGAAAAUGGCUUCUGGAAAAUGAUUUCUGGAAAAUGACUUACUUUUUUGGAAAAGCUAAUAUUUUUUGGUGUUUGGAUUAAUCUGUGUAAAAUAUUUUCUUUUGUUUGGCAGGUUCUUUAAAAAUAUUUCAUAAAAGUCGUUUUCAAUUAAACAAACAUACAUUUGAGAUUUUUUUUUAUUUUUUCAUUGUUUAAUUGAGUUUAUUUUAUAUCUAUAAUUUUAUAUUUUACAUUGUUUUUACAUAUAUUAAAAAUAUUUUGUUAAAUUUAGGUUCAUUACAACGAUUAUAUUUUAGUUACAUGACUACCAACUGAGUAUUUUUUU